rnacentral:rRNA from 1 species
CCUAAUGGGUUGUAAACUGCUUUUAUACGGGAAGAACAGGGACCACGUGUGGUCGAGUGACGGUACUGUAAGAAUAAGGACCGGCUAACUCCGUGCCAGCAGCCGCGGUAAUACGGAGGGUCCAAGCGUUAUCCGGAAUCAUUGGGUUUAAAGGGUCCGUAGGCGGGCUAUUAAGUCAGGGGUGAAAGUUUGCAGCUCAACUGUAAAAUUGCCUUUGAUACUGGUAGUCUUGAGUUAUAGUGAAGUGGUUAGAAUAAGUGGUGUAGCGGUGAAAUGCAUAGAUAUCACAUAGAAUACCGAUUGCGAAGGCAGAUCACUAACAAUAUACUGACGCUGAUGGACGAAAGCGUGGGUAGCGAACAGGAUUAGAUACCCUGGUAGUCCACGCCGUAAACGAUGGAUACUAGCUGUU